AUUGAACGCUGGCGGCAGGCCUAACACAUGCAAGUCGAACGGUAACACGCUGAAGCUUGCUUCUUUGCUGACGAGUGGCGGACGAGUGAGUAAUGUCUGGCAAACUUCUUGAUGGAGGGGGUUAACUACUGGAAACUGUAGCUAAUACCGCAUAACGUCGCAAGAUCAAAGAGGGGGACUUUCCGGCCUCUUGCCAUCGGAUGUGCUCAGAUGGGAUUAGCUAGUAGGUGGGGUAACGGCUCACCUAGGCGACGAUCCCUAGCUGGUCUGAGAGGAGGAACGGCCACAUUGGAGCGGAGACACGGUCAAGAGGACUAAGGGAGGGAGCAGUGGGGAAUAUUGGACAAUGGGGGCAAGCCUGAUGCAGCGAUGGCGAGUGUAUGAAGAAGGCCCUCGGGUUGUAAAGUACGUCCAGGGGGGAGGAAGGGAGUAAAGUUAAUACCUAGACUAAUUGACGGUACCCACAGAAGAAGCACCGGCUAACUACGUG
rnacentral:rRNA from 1 species